AGCUCAAUUGGUAGAGCAGCUGACUUGUAAUCAGCAGGUUGCGGGUUCGAGUCCCAUC
rnacentral:tRNA from 1 species